rnacentral:pre_miRNA from 1 species
CGUAAUCUAACCCUGUAGAUCCGGGCUUUUGUAGAGUUAGUCAGAAGCUCGCCUUUACAGGUAUCUUACGG